CACGUAGGCGGAUAUUUAAGUCAGGGGUGAAAUCCCCGGGCUCAACCUGGGAACUGCAUCUGAAACUGUAGAGCUAGAGUAUGUGAGAGGAAGGUAGAAUUCCAGGUGUAGCGGUGAAAUGCGUAGAGAUCUGGAGGAAUACCGAUGGCGAAGGCAGCCUUCUGGCAUAAUACUGACGCUGAGGCUCGAAAGCGUGGGGAGCAAACA
rnacentral:rRNA from 1 species